GACGAACGCUGGCGGCGUGCUUAACACAUGCAAGUCGAACGGAAAGGCCCUGCUUUUGUGGGGUGCUCGAGUGGCGAACGGGUGAGUAACACGUGAGUAACCUGCCCUUGACUUUGGGAUAACUUCAGGAAACUGGGGCUAAUACCGGAUAGGAGCUCCUGCUGCAUGGUGGGGGUUGGAAAGUUUCGGCGGUUGGGGAUGGACUCGCGGCUUAUCAGCUUGUUGGUGGGGUAGUGGCUUACCAAGGCUUUGACGGGUAGCCGGCCUGGGAGGGUGACCGGCCACAUGGGGACUGAGAUACGGCCCAGACUCCUACGGGAGGCAGGAGUGGGGAAUAUUGCACAAUGGGCGGAAGCCUGAUGCAGCAACGCCGGGUGCGGGAUGACGGCCUUCGGGUUGUAAACCGCUUUCGCCUGUGACGAAGCGUGAGGGACGGGAAUGGGGAAAGAAGCACCGGCUAACUACGG
rnacentral:rRNA from 1 species